rnacentral:rRNA from 1 species
CCUACGGGAUGCAGCAGUGAGGAAUAUUGGUCAAUGGACGAGAGUCUGAACCAGCCAAGUAGCGUGAAGGAUGACUGCCCUAUGGGUUGUAAACUUCUUUUAUAUGGGAAUAAAACGUUCCACGUGUGGGAUUUUGUAUGUACUAUAUGAAUCAGGAUCGGCUAACUCCGUGCCAGCAGCCGCGGUAAUACGGAGGAUCCGAGCUUUAUCCGGAUUUAUUGGGUUUAAAGGGAGCGUAGGUGGAUUGUUAAGUCAGUUGUGAAAUUUUGCGGCUCAACCGUAAAAUUGCAGUUGAUACUGGCAGUCUUGAGUACAGGAGAGGUAGGCGGAAUUCGUGGUGUAGCGGUGAAAUGCUUAGAUAUCACGAAGAACUCCGAUUGCGAAGGCAGUUCACUAGACUGCAACUGACACUGAGGCUCGAAAGUGUGGGUAUCAAACAGGAUUAGAUACCCGAGUAGUC